CACAUGCUAGGGUUUUUGAAAAAGAUUCAAAAGGAAAAAAUCAAUCGACGGAAAGACGGUUGUGCCUUUGUGGAUUUCCUUUGUUAGAAACCCUCUUUUAUCUGCAUUAAACCUAAUUUAGUAGAAAAUGGUACCAAAUAUGUCUGCAAUCAGAAGAUUUAACAGUGCAAGCUGUUGUGGAACAAUAAUUUUGUCGUGCAACGACUACCACAUUGAGGGUGUGGAACAACUCUCUGCUAUUUUUAGGUCAGAUGGUCACCAUCUUUGAUUCGAAUGAUGAUCUUCUCUUCAAAGUGGAUACCUACACAUUCGCUAACAAUAACCUUAUUCUCAUGGAUGCUCAGGGCAAGUCAUUUAUCACAUUAUAAUGAAGAUUACACUAGCCAAGGCUUCGAUCAACUAGUAGACGAAAUUCACAAGAUUAAAUUCAAUUAAGAAGAUCAUCGGAUUAUACUUUCUGCAUGGAACCUGUAGACCUCAAACUCAUGGCUCUUCCCCCAUACAACAUGUUUUCUCAGGGUACCUCUUAAUUUUUUAUGUGGCCAAAGGGGAAUUGUCAUGUCAAAUUUAGUAGCGAUCAUGUGGCAUGGAUCUUGG